UACAGAGGUCUCAAGCGUUGUUCGGAUUCAUUGGGCGUAAAGGGCGUGUAGGUGGCGCCGUAAGUCGGGUGUGAAAUUUCGGAGCUUAACUCCGAAACUGCAUUCGAUACUGCGGUGCUUGAGGACUGGAGAGGAGACUGGAAUUCAUGGUGUAGCAGUGAAAUGCGUAGAGAUCAUGAGGAAGACCAGUGGCGAAGGCGGGUCUCUGGACAGUUCCUGACACUGAGACACGAAGGCCAGGGGAGCAAACGGG
rnacentral:rRNA from 1 species